CCUACGGGGUGCAGCAGUGAGGAAUAUUGGUCAAUGGGCGGGAGCCUGAACCAGCCAAGUCGCGUGAAGGAAGAAGGUACUUAGUAUUGUAAACUUCUUUUGUCGGGGAACAAAGGCGGAGACGCGUCUCCGGAUGAGUGUACCCGAAGAAAAAGCAUCGGCUAACUCCGUGCCAGCAGCCGCGGUAAUACGGAGGAUGCGAGCGUUAUCCGGAUUUAUUGGGUUUAAAGGGUGCGCAGGCGGGAGAUCAAGUCAGCGGUAAAAUGUCGGGGCUCAACCCCGGCCGGCCGUUGAAACGGUUGAACUAGAUUGCAGGAGAGGUAAGUGGAAUUCCUAGGGUAGCGGUGAAAUGCGUAGAUAUUAGGAGGAACACCAGUGGCGAAGGCGGCUUACUGGACUGUAAAUGACGCUGAGGCUCGAAAGCGUGGGGAGCAAACAGGAUUAGAUACCCGGGUAGUC
rnacentral:rRNA from 1 species